rnacentral:ncRNA from 1 species
UUUCUGCCCACUGCUCUGAAUGUCAAAGUACAGAAAUUCAGUGGAGCACGGGCAAAUGGCGGGAGUAACUAUGACUCUCUCGAGGUAGCCAAAUGCCUCGUCAUCUAAGUAGUGAUGCGCAUGAAUGGAU